rnacentral:rRNA from 1 species
UACGGGGGGGGGCAAGCGUUGUUCGGAAUUACUGGGCGUAAAGCGCGUGUAGGCGGCUCUUCAAGUCGAGUGUGAAAGCUCCAGGCUUAACCUGGGAAUUUGCGCUCGAUACUGUUGAGCUAGAGUGUGGAAGGGGCUACUGGAAUUCCGUGUGUAGCGGUGAAAUGCGUAGAUAUAACGGAGGAACACCGUGGCGAAGG